GAUACCCUGGUAGUCCACGCUGUAAACGAUGAUUACUAGGUGUGGCGGGACUGACCCCUUCCGUGCCGCAGUUAACACAAUAAGUAAUCCACCUGGGGAGUACGGCCGCAAGGCUGAAACUCAAAGAAAUUGACGGGGGCCCGCCCAAGCGGGGGAGAAUGUGGUUUAAUUCGAA
rnacentral:rRNA from 1 species